rnacentral:rRNA from 1 species
AUUGAACGCUGGCGGCAGGCCUAACACAUGCAAGUCGAGCGAUCGGCGGACGGGUGAGUAAUGUCUGGGAAACAGCCUGAUGGAGGGGGAUAACUACUGGAAACGGUAGCUAAUACCGCAUACCAUCAGAUGUGCCCAGAUGGAGUUAGCGGGUAGGGGGGGUAAUGGCUCACCUAGGCGACGUUCCCAAGCUGGUCUGAGAGGAGGAACAGCAACUCUGUAACUGAGAAGCGGUCCAGACUCCUACGGGAGGAAGCAGUGGGAAAUAUUGCACAAUGGGCGCAAGCCUGAGGCAGCCAUGCCGCGUAUGUGAAGAGGGCCUUCGGGUUGUAAAGCACUUUCAGCGGGGAGGCGUUACCCGCAGAAGAAGCACCGGCUAACUACGUGCCAGCAGCCGCGGUAAUUC